rnacentral:rRNA from 1 species
GACGAACGCUGGCGGCGUGCUUAACACAUGCAAGUCGAACGAAGUGGCGAACGGGUGAGUAACGCGUAAUCAACCUGCCCUUCAGAGGGGGACAACAGUUGGAAACGACUGCUAAUACCGCAUACGGAAGGAGGGGCUUGGGUCGGAUUAGCUAGUUGGAGGGGUAACGGCCCACCAAGGCGAGGAUCAGUAGCCGGUCCGAGAGGAUGAACGGCCAAAUUGGGAAUGAGAAACGGCCCAGUCUCCUACGGGAGGCAGCAUGUGGUAAUCUUCCGCAAUGGACGAAAGUCUGACGGAGCAACGCCGCGGGAGUGAUGACGGCCUUCGGGUUGUAAAGCUCUGUUAAUCGGGACGCGGUACCGGAAUAGAAAGCCACGGCUAACUACGUGCCAGCAGCCGCGGUAAUUC